AUUACAACGUGGCUGGUCGGCUAAACCGCAUCCGUACCCCCACGCUUGACUCCCGAGUUUGUCAUCCCAACUACUUAGGAAGCUGACACAGAAGAAUCACAAGUUCAAGGCCUGCCAGGGCUGCAGAAUGCUGCUUUCUCAGCUUGAGGGAGGCCGCCCUGGGAACAGAGAACAAAGAGAAG